AUUUCUAAAAAAAUACUAUUAGAGAUAAUGUACAAUAGAUAUUUGAGUAAAUUAAAUAGGUUUGACAGGCACUGAGAAGAGUUGUAAGUCCUAGUCUUACGCACAUUUUAUUUGCUGAUGACAACAUAGCCUUUGGUGAGGCUAUGAGAAGUGGUGCUCUGUUUUCAUCAUUCAGGAAUACGAACAUUUCUCGAGCCAACAGGUUAAUUUUUGUAAAUUUACUUAUUUUAGUGGUCGACUUUAUGUGAGCCUAAAUUUAUUGGGGGCAUGUGGUUUCAUGAUAUGGGGAAGUUCAACAUUGCUUUGUUAUCCAUAAAUUUAACAGUGUCAUGGCGAGGGAAGGAUUGGACGAUCCGAGCUCCAGUGAACGCCGGACACGACAGAGGCAGAGUCAGGAGAGGCGGUGGUAGUCAUGAAAGCAAAACGAGAAUCAGGUCUCUAGAAUCACGGCGACUGAUACCAUGUAAGUAACUCUAUAACAUUGAAUAAAAGAAAGAAAUACUGAAAUGAAAGGAAAUACUGAAAGACUGAAAGACUGAAUUACGUUAUAUUCAUUAUGGAACUUAUAUACUGACAAAGAAUGACUAACUGCUGCUAACUAAUCCACUAACAAUACACAAGACUCUGUUAAUAGACUAACAACCUUUCAUUUACAUACUUUAACACACCUGCAUUUUGCGUUGGAGGGCGGCUUUUCAAGUUGAAAAUGACAAUAUCUAAAUCACACACUGUCAGACUUCUCGUAGACAAGCAUUCCAGGCUCUAACUCCCGAUAAUAGCCGAUUACACUAAUCAUUUGGUAAACAAUUUCAUGCAUACGAGGAGACAUGCAACUUGUUGAUGAUUCAUUUACCGCUGUUGCUUCAGCUCUUGCAGGCAGAGCACAAAUUACGGUCACCUUGGCUCUCCUGGUAAACACAUUGAUUUCUACAAUUUCAUAACUUGUGACAGUACAUAGAAUUGGCAACCUGCGUGAAUUCAGAUUCUUGAAGGCCUCAUAAUCUGCAGUAUUAUCAACAACAGUCAGAUUAUACAUCAAUUCUAACAUAACUAAACUUCAAUACAUGACCAAGCUAAAAAAUAUUUUUAGGGGGUCAAAAUUAAAUUUUAAUAGUUUAUUAUUUUUAUAAUUUUUAAAUGAUUAAAUUAAAUUUUUAUCAUUUUUAUAGGUUUAAAAUAUAAUUUUAUAUUUACUAAUUUAAAAUUUUAAAAUUUUCUCAUUUAGGAAGCUGGAAUCUGCCAGUCCCCCUAUACGCUACUGCAUAUAUAUCUAUGGGUGUAACGUUCCCAUACGGAUGGUUGAAUUCCAAUAUCAUUGCCAAAAGGUUUCCUCCUGCAUCUGCAUUCUCUGAUGGGUAGAAAAUCUUUCCAUUUCUCCUUGAAAAUCGAAACUGAAUCUCCUUUUGCUUUGGGUCAUUAAUGGUAGGACAAUUUAGUCCACAAGUUCUCUCUUUGAACUUCCACUAUUGAAACCUCCUAGUAAUUACGUAGGGCUAUGUUGUGUGGAAAAAUGAGCAUCUUACCUAGUUAUAUUUGAAUCGUUUCUCUUCUCUUAAUCACGUCAAAAAAGAAUGUUGAAUUUAGACAUCACAUGGAACCACCAUGAUGAAAUAUCUCAAACUAAAAAGGAUUGAUUUUGAAGUUUUUCUAACUUCAAUUAUCAAAUAAAUUAUGAUUCAAUUUUUAAUUGAUGAUUGGUGUUUAUAGUCUUAACUAGAGGUGAUCAUGAGUCGGGCCGGAUUUGAGCCGGGCCAAACAAAAAUUUAAGUCUGUUUUCUAGGCCCGGGCCCGGCCCAAAAUAUGGGCCUAAAAAUUUUUCUAAGCCCGGUCCAUAUUGAAUAUGUAUUUAAUAUAUAUAAAAUAUAUAUUUGAUUAAAAAUAAAAAAUAAAUAUUUAAUAUAUAAUUCGGGCCGGGCCAAAAAAGUUUUACCCGAGGCCCGGCCUGUUUUCUAAACGGGUCUUAGUUUUUUGCCCAAACCCAUAUUUCAGGCCUAUAUUUUUACCCGAAUCCUCUCAUUUUUCAGGCGGGCCGUCGGGCCUGGCCGAAUAUCCCAACCCAUGAUCACCUCUAGUCUUAACAUAAUUUUUCUAUUAAUCCAUCUUAAUAAAUGAGUUACCUCCAUUAUAAUCUUUGUAUUGAUUUAAAAGAUUAAAAUUAUUAAUAAAUUAAUAGAUUCAAAUAUAUUUUCAUAUUAAUUUAUUGUUUUUGAUAGACUUAGUAUAUUAAGGAUUUAACAAAUAUCAUUUGAGCUUCAUCAUAUCAAUUUAUUAACAACAUACUAUAUUUUUAGGGUUUGAUUAUCUAUAAGAAAAUUUUAAGUAUCUAUAAUAAUAUAGAUUGAAUGCUUUGUGUAUUUUUGGCAUUAACGAGGAGUAUCCAUUAAAGUCUAUAAUCACAAUAAAAAAUCGAAAAUUCAUCUAUUUAAAUCCUUACUAGCUGAAGUUGGAGCUGAUUUCCCCUCUGGCUUCGACAAAACAGAGUUGACAGCCAAACCCAAAUUCCUCUAUCCAUCAACAUUCCUUGAACCAACCUCUCCCAACCACGUCUCAACAGUCGAAAGACCGUGAUUAACAAUGCAAUUGUAGAUGCCGAUCCUGAUAAAAUAAACAAACCUGAGAAAGGUCCGGGUCCUAUGCCUCGUUUCAUGGUGCCAUCACUAGUUGAACUCGAACAAUCUGAAAGAGAUAGCAUAUCUAAAUCUUCUUCCUUCAUCUGCUUGAAUCCCAGCACAGCCUCUAGCAUCUCAUUAACAAACGAAGAACCCCGUUGAAAUACCUGUAAUGCAAGUAAAAUAAGAGACCCAAAAAUGGUCAAAAGACAAGCCUAAAACCUUUAACAACAAAUUAACAUAACCAGAACUGAAAGAGAAUGAUUUUAUUACAAUGGAAGAACCGUGUCGAUUACAGUUUGGGUUUCCGAAACUUUUGCAGUAUUUUGCAAGAAAAAAGCAAUCAUCAGGCGUCCAAAAGAAUGCUGCCUUUAUAUUUCCAGUUGAUAGAGCCUUUGCAUAAUCAUCAAAUGAAGAUUGAGCAAUGUGCUUGAUAUUCUUUUUUUGGAACCCAAUGACCUUCACUAAAUACUGGAACAUAAUUGAAUGUUUCAUAUCACAACCCACAAUGGCAUUUGUUUUCUUAAGAUUUUUUAUAUCUAACCAACAUGGUGAUGCCUCGGUGUCUGAGCUUGUUAUCAUGGAAGUAAAGCUUUGUGUGUAGGUUGAGGAAACAACCAGGAUCAGUAUGAACCACGGGGCCAACACGAAAUAUGUUAAGUUGUUCCUCGGUGAUUCUCCUGCAAUAUAAAUAGUUUAUCUGUAAGUGGUAUCCUUAUAGAACGUGCUCAGAAACUAGGGGAACCACCAUAGAUUUAUCUUACUAUGCCCUCCAUAGAAGAGAAUUGCUAUAGGGAACCACAAAAUAGCUCCAACUUGUCCGAAAGGCAAACUACCAGAUUCAUGACUAGUUGUAGAUUCAACUAACCAAAUAACAAAAACAUUGAAGACCGUCAUAGCUGACAAAGUAGACCACAUCACGUUGGUGAAAGGCAUCAUGAAUGAAAAAACUUGGUUCAGUUCAAGGUCUUCCUUCCUCAAUUGAUCUGAGCCUUUUUCAAAAUAUGGAGAUGAUAGUCCUACAUAAAUCUGGUCUGUCACCAUUCUUUGGUAAUCCCUAAUUACUGGUAAGCCAAUGGCUGCAUCAUAAUCCUUCAAUACAUAAAAAAAAAAAUUUGCAAUUUCAGCCAGUCAACAGAUAUUUAAUUAUAGCUACUUACUUUACUGUAAGCUUCAAGAUUCAGAUAUUCAAAAUUGUAAAGCAAAGGGAAGAGAUUAUAAGGAACAAAAAUUAACCUUGCCUGAAACUUCAUUAAGCGAUUCAUCAAUAGAAGCACUACAAAGUCGAAACAUUUUUUUUUUCCUUGUGGUGUUUGUUGCCAUUAUUGCAGCAGCUUUCUUAAAAGUAUCAAUCCAAAACCCUGUUAAUUGUGUAUUCUUGUGGUUCUUCUCGUCAGGGCUUAUGCUAACAAACUCGCUGAGAUUCGAUCUUACUGGAGCAGAAAUGCCUAACUCUGUAUAAUAGUGAACCGGCUUGGAUGUCGAAAACGAUAAAGUUGUAGCCAUUUCAACGAUCCCUCCUGCAUUUGGCGUUGGAUUGCAGC
rnacentral:lncRNA from 1 species